CACGUAGGGCGCAAGCGUUGUCCGGAAUUAUUGGGCGUAAAGAGCUCGUAGGCGGUCUGUUGCGUCCGCUGUGAAAACUCGGGGCUUAACCCCGAGCCUGCAGUGGAUACGGGCAGACUAGAGGUAGGUAGGGGAGAAUGGAAUUCCCGGUGUAGCGGUGAAAUGCGCAGAUAUCGGGAGGAACACCGGUGGCGAAGGCGGCUUCUGGUCUGCUCUUGACGCUGAGGCGCGAAAGCUAGGGUAGCAAACGGG
rnacentral:rRNA from 1 species